GGGAAUUUGGUUUUUUCCUUCCGAACUGGAAGAACAUUUUUAUGAAGAAUUUCUGUCUUGGAGAAUUUAACAGUGUUACCCAAGGUUGUGUCUUUAAGGGUGGUUCAUUUUCUCUGAUCCUUUGUUUCUCAAAGUAAAGUACUAGGAGUCCUAAGAAAUGUUCUGUUCUUGUACAUUAUACUGAUUAAGUCAGGAUUAAUUUGAUUUCAAAGCUAAGAACAGUGGUAAAAACUUGUUUACAGAAAUGCAUUUUGGAAGAGAAAAAUAUUGUAAAAACGUGUAGUGAAUGUUUCUUCAGUUUCUUGUUCAGCCAAUGAGGAAAGGGCAUUGCCUUUCUUUUUACCAUUAAUCACUUCUCAAUAAACGUGAGAUCCUGUUGAGCAUCA
rnacentral:lncRNA from 1 species